UUUAGCCAGGCCGCUGAGUAGCGCUCGAGUUUGGCCGGCCGAUGGAGAGACACAGCCGAAUACAGACUGGACAGAUGCCAGCAAACACAAGACAAAGUGAAUGCUUUGUUCAUUUUCAAACGGUGCCUUUGCGUUGGGGAAGAAAAAAGCAUACGGAUUUGAAUCGACACGUGGCAUGGCUGAAGUGGUUGUGAAGUGGGCAUGUUUCAGCCGCAGUUAACGUCAAGCUACGUCUGCAGUCCUACGCAAACAGACUCGCUGCAGAACUCCUGCAGUAUGUCACUCUCCCCUGCCAACGGACACAAAUCUCAGUCUAACGUUUGAUAUAAACGCACUCUGGCAUUUCCAAGGCUUUCAGCUGAGUGUUCACAAGAGUAAACUACAGAGGGAUGAAACGAGACUUAAUGAGAUUUCGAGUGUUCGGAUCGCACUAACCCUCUUGCCAUCUGCUUCCUCUGAUGGAGGCCCGCCGAAGCAGUUCGGCAGCGCUGGACAAAUACAACGCUAAUACUCUUUUAAUGAGUUGUGCCAUGUGAACACACAUGCUGACUGUAAACAAUUGUAAUCGGAGUGUGGGGUGUGCGAAGCUUAGGGCUUUGCGAGUCUGAAAAUGCGGACCUACAAACGCGAGCAUAAAAAAGGUAUCAAGUCAUCGAUUUGCAUACAUUAACUUCUCGUGAACUCGCAUAGCAUAUUCACGUAAUGCAUUUAAAUUUCAAUUACCGG